CAAAUAAUACCUUCAUUUGUCUACUACCAUUAAAAUUGCUUGGUAUUCCUUCUUAUAUAUUUAUAGCCCUAAAUGUGUAGAGCACAAAGCUUUAAUUAGAAAAGCCAAUGAUUUUCCUUCUUGAGUAAUGCCAUUAUUCUUGUAGCACAAGCAUUAAUCUCCAAUGCAACAGUAUUCUUAAAAUGAGGUUGAUGAUGAGAAGGGCGUGCAACGGAAAGAAAGGAGAAUCAAAAACUAACAUGAGUGGAUAUGCACAGAACUAUUGCGGGUUUCAAUCGGCGACUGGGAGCAGGCUGGGAAAACAGGAAAGUAAUCAAUAAAUUAUUAAUCGAUUAUGUUUCUUCAAUCUUGAAUGACGUACAAGAACCAAUUUAGCUAGCAAAUGUUAUAGCUGCACGUGUCAGAUAUGUUUCCUGGACAACCUGGAUUUCAUGCACAAAUGACCAGCCAGAUGCAAGGAGACACAAAAUAGUGGAUCUAAGAACGCCAUCGAUGCCAAUAGUUACUGUGUAAAGUCGUAAUUCAUGUUUUCAACGCAACAAUACAGGCCAAAUCCCGGAGCUGUGUGGAAUGGCAGGCAUUAAGGGAUUUGAUCAGAAUGUAUUUGGUAUA